AAUGAACGCUGGCGGCGUGCCUAAUACAUGCAAGUCGAGCGAAUGGAUUAAGAGCUUGCUCUUAUGAAGUUAGCGGCGGACGGGUGAGUAACACGUGGGUAACCUGCCCAUAAGGCUGGGAUAACUCCGGGAAACCGGGGAUAAUACCGGAUAACAUUUUGAACCGCAUGGUUCGAAAUUGAAAGGAGGCUUCGGCUGUCACUUAUGGAUGGACCAGCGUCGCAUUAGCUAGUGGGUGAGGUAACGGCUCACCAAGGCAACGAUGCGUAGCCGACCUGAGAGGGUGAUCGGCCACACUGGGACUGAGACACGGCCCAGACUCCUACGGGAGGCAGCAGUAGGGAAUCUUCCGCAAUGGACGAAAGUCUGACGGAGCAACGCCGCGUGAGUGAUGAAGGCUUUCGGGUCGUAAAACUCUGUUGUUAGGGAAGAACAAGUGCUAGUUGAAUAAGCUGGCACCUUGACGGUACCUAACCAGAAAGCCACGGCUAACUACGUGCCAGCAGCCGCGGUAA
rnacentral:rRNA from 1 species